rnacentral:tRNA from 1 species
GGGCUUAUAGUAAAAUGGUAUUACGCGGCAUUCGCAUUGCCGAGUUCCGGGUUCGAUUCCCGGUGAGUCCACCA